rnacentral:rRNA from 1 species
AGUGAACGCUGGCGGUAGGCCUAACACAUGCAAGUCGAACGGCAGCACAGUAAGAGCUUGCUCUUACGGGUGGCGAGUGGCGGAUGGGUGAGGAAUACAUCGGAAUCUACUUUUUCGUGGGGGCUAAUGUAGGGAAACUUACGCUAAUACCGCACACGACCUACGGGUGAAAGCUGGGGAUCUUCGGACCUUGCGCGUUUGAAUGAGCCGAUGUCGGAUUAGCUAGUUGGCGGGGUAAAGGCCCACCAAGGCGACGAUCCGUAGCUGGUCUGAGAGAAUGAUCAGCCACACUGGAACUGAGACACGGGCCAGACGCCUACGGGAGGCAGCAGUGGGGAAUAUUGGACAAUGGGCGCAAGCCUGAUCCAGCCAUACCGCGUGGGUGAAGAAGGCCUUCGGGUUGUAAAGCCCUUUUGUUGGGAAAGAAAAGCAGCAGGUUAAUACCCCGCUGUUCUGACGGUACCCAAAGAAUAAGCACCGGCUAACUUCGUG